rnacentral:rRNA from 1 species
GAUGAACGCUGGCGGCGUGCCUAAUACAUGCAAGUCGAGCGAACAGACGAGGAGCUUGCUCCUCUGACGUUAGCGGCGGACGGGUGAGUAACACGUGGAUAACCUACCUAUAAUACUGGGAUAACUUCGGGAAACCGGAGCUAAUACCGGAUAAUAUAUUGUACCGCAUGGUUCAAUAGUGAAAGACGGUUUUGCUGUCACUUAUAGAUGGAUCCGCGCCGCAUUAGCUAGUUGGUAAGGUAACGGCUUACCAAGGCAACGAUGCGUAGCCGACCUGAGAGGGUGAUCGGCCACACUGGAACUGAGACACGGUCCAGACUCCUACGGGAGGCAGCAGUAGGGAAUCUUCCGCAAUGGGCGAAAGCUUGACGGAGCAACGCCGCGUGAGUGAUGAAGGUCUUCGGAUCGUAAAACUCUGUUAUUAGGGAAGAACAAAUGUGUAAGUAACUAUGCACGUCUUGACGGUACCUAAUCAGAAAGCCACGGCUAACUACGUG